GGGUGAGUAAUGCCUAGGAAUCUGCCUGGUAGUGGGGGAUAACGUUCGGAAACGGACGCUAAUACCGCAUACGUCCUACGGGAGAAAGCAGGGGACCUUCGGGCCUUGCGCUAUCAGAUGAGCCUAGGUCGGAUUAGCUAGUUGGUGAGGUAAUGGCUCACCAAGGCGACGAUCCGUAACUGGUCUGAGAGGAUGAUCAGUCACACUGGAACUGAGACACGGUCCAGACUCCUACGGGAGGCAGCAGUGGGGAAUAUUGGACAAUGGGCGAAAGCCUGAUCCAGCCAUGCCGCGUGUGUGAAGAAGGUCUUCGGAUUGUAAAGCACUUUAAGUUGGGAGGAAGGGCAGUUACCUAAUACGUGAUUGUUUUGACGUUACCGACAGAAUAAGCACCGGCUAACUCUGUGCCAGCAGCCGCGGUAAUACAGAGGGUGCAAGCGUUAAUCGGAAUUACUGGGCGUAAAGCGCGCGUAGGUGGUUUGUUAAGUUGGAUGUGAAAUCCCCGGGCUCAACCUGGGAACUGCAUUCAAAACUGACUGACUAGAGUGUGGUAGAGGGUGGUGGAAUUUCCUGUGUAGCGGUGAAAUGCGUAGAUAUAGGAAGGAACACCAGUGGCGAAGGCGACCACCUGGACCAACACUGACACUGAGGUGCGAAAGCGUGGGGAGCAAACAGGAUUAGAUACCCAGGUAGUCCACGCCGUA
rnacentral:rRNA from 1 species